AAAGGCAGAAGCCCGUGAACGUGAGAGAGAAAAGGAAGAAGCUCGGAAAAUGAAACGAAAAGAGUCUGCCUUUAAGAGUAUGUUGAAACAGGCCACUCCUCCAAUAGAACUGGAUGCUGUCUGGGAAGAUAUCCGGGAAAGAUUUGUGAAGGAACCAGCAUUUGAGGAUAUAACUCUAGAAUCUGAAAGAAAAAGAAUAUUUAAAGAUUUCAUGCAUGUGCUUGAGGAUCUCCAGGUGGUGAAGAGAUGGUUCAUUGGAUAAAGAGUGCAAGCGUGAAAAACAGUCUGCAUACCUAUCAGGCAGGGCAUGAAUGUCAGCAUCAUCAUUCAAAGAACAAGAAACAUUCUAAGAAAUCUAAAAAACACCAUAGGAAACGCUCCCGCUCUCGAUCGGGAUCAGACUCAGAUGAUGAUGACAGCCAUUCAAAGAAAAAAAGACAGCGAUCAGAAUCCCAUUCUGCUUCAGAACAUUCUUCUAGUGCUGAGUCUGAGAGAAGUUACAAGAAAUCAAAAAAGCAUAAGAAGAAAAGCAAAAAGAGGAGACAUAAAUCUGACUCUCCAGAAUCAGAUACUGAACGAGAGAAGGAUAAAAAAGAAAAAGAUCGGGAAAGUGAAAAAGACAGAAGUAGGCAGAGAUCAGAAUCAAAACACAAAUCACCUAAGAAAAAGACUGGAAAGGAUUCU
rnacentral:lncRNA from 1 species